rnacentral:lncRNA from 1 species
UUUCUCUCUCAUUAAAUCCACCUUCACUAAACCCACCUCUAAUUCCAAGUCCUCACCGUUUCUCCUCAACAACACUCCUUCUUCACCCACACUUCCAAGGUAACUCCAUUUCCUGUUAUCCAUUCAUUUUCAUCUUUCCACAUAUAAAGUCAUCUUUUUUCUUUCACCCAAUUGAAUUUAAUUGUUGUCCAUCUUAUCAGAUUGUUGUAAAUGUUGUUAUUUUUGUGUGUUUCAAGUCCAUUGCUCAAUUGGGUUGUGUUCAAUCACUGCUUCCAUUGCACAAUUGUCGGGUUUACCUGAAACCUGAUGGGUUUGGGGAUGAUAUUCUUAUUUUCAACCCCGUUGAGUUUGGAUUCAGAUUUGGAUUUUACAUUUCAGGUUCGGGGUUGGGUAAGGGUAAAUCCGACCCCGAUCCACCCCAUUGGCAUUCCUAGAAAUGAAAAAUGAACUUAUCUCCGGUACUGGAUACUCUAAUGUGAGAGAACUAUUUUUUUAUUCAUUUUUUAAUUUAUUUAAUCAAAACACAAUAAAAAGUGUGCACCCUUAAAAAAAAAUUGAUAACACAUGUAAUCAUUUUGGUCUAGUAUUGGAGAGGAUUACAUUCAGUGAAGUGGAUGAAUGGACAAGGAUAUGUUGUCCCAAACCCUGUCUAGACCAAUUAUAUUAUGCUACGUCAGUUAAAAAAAUUAAAUAUUCAUAACUUCAUUAGUUUUUAGUUUUGCUUGUUUCAUUGUGAUUGGUCAGUGACGUGGUUGGGGACAGCAGAUCCCCAUCCGUGGAUGAACACCCAAAGCCAUGGGUCAUAGACUCAAAUAGAGGAGAUGUAAGAAUGUUACCUAUGAGACAAGAGUGUCUUGGUUCCUUGUAUCUCUUAAGUGAGGUAAGUAAGAUGAUGCACUACAUGGGUAAGUUAUAUUAUACCUUCCAUUGUUUUUCUAUGGUGUGCUUUUAAGUGUAUGAUUUUUUUUAACAAUCGUAUCAGAGUUGAAGAUUCGGUUGGCACAAGUGUUGUGUAUUGUGUGAGGUGGUUGUUGUAAGAUUUAUGUUUCCAGGUGUUGUAUCAUGUUGUAUAUGAAUACUUUAAGGACUAAAACAUAUUUAACCUCAUACAAACUAAUUAAGCUCAAUAAUAUAUAAAGGAGUUUACUAACAUCAUGAGUCCACCCCAUUUUCUAAAGAAAUGUUAGUAACGUGUGCAAAAAUGGUCAAAAUUAUCCUCAAUUGAUCAACUCAAGUUAAGUUUCUUCUCAAAGUUAUUUUAGUAAAUAACUUAAAAUCAGUUGUCCAAAAAACAAACCUUUCAACAUUACACAAUAUGUACUCCUUAAAACACGUUGUAUUUAAUAUAAAGAAAUAGACCUUCUAAAUAUGAAUUCAAGAUGUUUUUGUCAAGUAACUUACAGAAUAUAAAAGAAUGGUUCAAGUAUGGGACACAAAAUUAAAGAACCAAAUUGUAGUCUGAAUAAAUUGUAGUCAAGUAACUUAAGGUUGUAUCAAUAUUAUGCGCCUAUAGUGGAAUAUGUUCAGGAAAAGAAUGUAUAUUUAGAUAAUUUGUGCUUGGUAGUUUGAUCAAAGUGUAUGGAUACCAUGUCUUUUACUCUUUAUUCAUUAUCAUUAUUCAUAAUUGUUCAUAAUUGUUCUACUUAGAUUGAAAAUACAGUGUCUACUUAGAAUGAAAGGACAUCCUUAAAACACACUAUCACAUACUGGGGACGACCAACAUGGAGGAAAUUGGCACUCUGAAUGUUGAGAGGUUUGUUUUCAAGAUAGCUAUGGGGAUCGGAAUAGGGAUCUUGUUCCCAUGUAGUCAUCCAAUAGAAUUACACUAAAUAAUAUAAAAUAUUACUUUAUGUUUUUAUAACUUUUAUUUCUCAAUUAAAUGAUACAUUUUUAUUAAUCUGAUACAUUAUUGGAUAUAUUAAAAGGGAUAACAGAUCUUCAUUAAGCUAUCAGAGAAACAGAAUGAGUUGGGCUUGGGUGAUUUGGAUAAGAAAUUAAGUUAUUUACUAAAAUAGCCUUGAUAUGUAACUUAACUUAAGUUAAUCAAUUAAAGAUGAUUUAACCACUUUUUAAAUGCAUAUUGUUAACAUGUUCCUUUAUAAGAUAACGUGUAUUUAUGUUAG